GACCCACUAAAGGAACAGAAUACCUUUCUUUGCAACUACAAGCUUAUAACGUGAAACAUUAGAAUAAAUUUAUUGUUUUAAGACACAGAUCAAUCAGAAGACUGCCAAUGGAAUCAAGAAUCUCUCCCCAUGACAGACAGGGCAAAAAACUAUCUGAAAGGUCACUGCUAUGUAAAAAGGUAAGAACAAGAACCAUGAGGAUCUAGCAGGAGAGAAAUUUCUUGAGGAACUGGAGAACAAGAGGAACAUUUGUAAGCACCACACCCAGAGGAGCAAAGAAAGGAGCAACAUGAAAGCAUUUAGAGACUGAAGGGAAGAAGGACUUGGCAGCAAAGAACCCGAUGGAGAGAAGGUAUGCAGAUGGAAAGAAGGAACAGAGUUAUGGCAGCAGAGAAACACAUACCAAGAGAA